CCUACGUGGAGCAGCAGUGGGGAAUAUUGCGCAAUGGGCGAAAGCCUGACGCAGCGACGCCGCGUGAGGGAUGAAGGUCUUCGGAUCGUAAACCUCUGUCAGCAGGGAAGAACGGUCACUGUGCUAAUCAGCAGUGAAUUGACGGUACCUGCAAAGGAAGCACCGGCUAACUCCGUGCCAGCAGCCGCGGUAAUACGGAGGGUGCGAGCGUUAAUCGGAAUUACUGGGCGUAAAGCGCUCGUAGGCGGUAUGUCAAGUCAAGGGUGAGAUCCCCGCGCUCAACGUGGGAACUGCCUUUGAAACUGGCAAACUGGAGUGUGUGAGAGGAUAGUGGAAUUCCAGGUGUAGGAGUGAAAUCCGUAGAUAUCUGGAGGAACAUCAGUGGCGAAGGCGACUAUCUGGCACAUAACUGACGCUGAGGAGCGAAAGCGUGGGUAGCAAACAGGAUUAGAUACCCUGGUAGUC
rnacentral:rRNA from 1 species